GAGUUUGAUCCUGGCUCAGAUUGAACGCUGGCGGCAUGCCUUACACAUGCAAGUCGAACGGCAGCGGGGACUUCGGUCCGCCGGCGAGUGGCGAACGGGUGAGUAAAGUAUCGGAACGUACCUUUCAGUGGGGGAUAACGUAGCGAAAGUUACGCUAAUACCGCAUAUUCUGUGAGCAGGAAAGCAGGGGAUCGCAAGACCUUGCGCUGAUUGAGCGGCCGAUAUCAGAUUAGCUAGUUGGUGGGGUAAAGGCCUACCAAGGCGACGAUCUGUAGCGGGUCUGAGAGGAUGAUCCGCCACACUGGAACUGAGACACGGUCCAGACUCCUACGGGAGGCAGCAGUGGGGAAUUUUGGACAAUGGGGGCAACCCUGAUCCAGCCAUGCCGCGUGAGUGAAGAAGGCCUUCGGGUUGUAAAGCUCUUUCGGCCGGGAAGAAAUCGCACAGGCUAAUACCCUGUGUGGAUGACGGUACCGGAAUAAGAAGCACCGGCUAACUACGUGCCAGCAGCCGCGGUAAUACGUAGGGUGCGAGCGUUAAUCGGAAUUACUGGGCGUAAAGCGUGCGCAGGCGGUUUCGUAAGACAGAGGUGAAAUCCCCGGGCUCAACCUGGGAACUGCCUUUGUGACUGCGAGGCUAGAGUACGGCAGAGGGGGGUGGAAUUCCACGUGUAGCAGUGAAAUGCGUAGAGAUGUGGAGGAACACCGAUGGCGAAGGCAGCCCCCUGGGCCGAUACUGACGCUCAUGCACGAAAGCGUGGGUAGCAAACAGGAUUAGAUACCCUGGUAGUCCACGCCCUAAACGAUGUCAACUAGGUGUUGGGUGGGUAAAACCAUUUAGUACCGUAGCUAACGCGUGAAGUUGACCGCCUGGGGAGUACGGCCGCAAGGUUAAAACUCAAAGGAAUUGACGGGGACCCGCACAAGCGGUGGAUGAUGUGGAUUAAUUCGAUGCAACGCGAAAAACCUUACCUACCCUUGACAUGUCCAGAAGCCCGGAGAGAUUUGGGUGUGCCCGAAAGGGAGCUGGAACACAGGUGCUGCAUGGCUGUCGUCAGCUCGUGUCGUGAGAUGUUGGGUUAAGUCCCGCAACGAGCGCAACCCUUGUCGUUAAUUGCCAUCAUUUAGUUGGGCACUUUAACGAGACUGCCGGUGACAAACCGGAGGAAGGUGGGGAUGACGUCAAGUCCUCAUGGCCCUUAUGGGUAGGGCUUCACACGUCAUACAAUGGUCGGUACAGAGGGUUGCCAAGCCGCGAGGUGGAGCCAAUCCCAGAAAGCCGAUCGUAGUCCGGAUUGCAGGCUGCAACUCGCCUGCAUGAAGUCGGAAUCGCUAGUAAUCGCGGAUCAGCAUGUCGCGGUGAAUACGUUCCCGGGUCUUGUACACACCGCCCGUCACACCAUGGGAGCGGGUUCCGCCAGAAGUAGGUAGCCUACCGCAAGGGGGGCGCUUACCACGGCGGGGUUCGUGACUGGGGUGAAGUCGUAACAAGGUAACC
rnacentral:rRNA from 1 species